CAUAAGUCCUGCAUUAGCUUGACCAGAAGUUUUGACUUGGAAUAGUUACCUGGAAAAGAUCACAUUAUAAGUUAAACUUGUUGCAGUCCUUGGAGAGUUAGAAUCCUUCGUAUUCUGAGGUAUAUAUAAUAGCUGUGAUGUGUAUAGCUAUGAAGAUACACAAAUAUUUAGGUAUGGGGACUUUGUGUAUGGAGACUUCAUAGGUAUAGUGGCUUCGAAUAGGUAACAUUAUGCGUUAAAGAUGUUGUGGUCGGAGAGUUAUAAUCCUUCGUAUUCUGAGGUAUAUAGUAGCUGUGAUGUGUAAAGCUAUGAAGAUACACAAAUAUUUAGCUAAUGCGUUCAGGUAUGGGGGCUUUGUGUAUGGAGACUUCAUUUUUCUUGGACUUGGGUACAGCAUUGGAGUACAUCUAGGGUUCAGUCCAAACUUCAGCAAAAGUAUUAAGUUUGAGAUUAGAAAAGACAAUGAUGAAUGAUGAUGUAUAUUUUUUCACAUCUACGAUGAUGUACGCUACCACCUACUCCGACCCAUAAACCCCUGAUUGAUUCUUGUCCAAUUGUCUGAAAGCCUGCCAAAUAAAAUGAGAAAACUUUCCGUCAAUUACUAUGCAGCAAGGGUUUUGGAAAAAUGUUGAAAAUCUUCUUCUAAGAAAACAUUCUUACUUUAGGUGUCAGUGGUAUUUGUAAUUUCAACUGGAGUUCGAACACUAUCCCAUUCCAACACCUGUUAUAUUGUCAUUUCGCCAUAGGCAUGAUGAUGGUAAAAGUGAGACUGUGAAACCAUAACGCCCCCAACCCCUUAGGGUUAGGUUCGUAUAUUUGAAGUUCUCAGAGGCACCUAAAUCGUAAGGUUACUAGAGUAAUUACUAAAUGCUUGCAGUGAAUGAUAAA